UACGAAGGUCCCAAGCGUUAUCCGGAUUUAUUGGGUUUAAAGGGUGCGUAGGCGGGCUAUUAAGUCAGUGGUGAAAGCCCCAAGCUUAACUUGGGAACUGCCAUUGAUACUGAUGGUCUUGAGUACAUUUGAGGUGGGCGGAAUGUGUCAUGUAGCGGUGAAAUGCUUAGAUAUGACACAGAACACCGAUUGCGAAGGCAGCUCACUAAGCUGUAACUGACACUGAGGCACGAAAGCGUGGGGAGCAAACAGG
rnacentral:rRNA from 1 species